rnacentral:rRNA from 1 species
GACGAACGCUGGCGGCGUGCUUAACGCAUGCAAGUCGAACGGAAAGGCCCUGCUUGCAGGGUACUCGCGUGGCGAACGGGCGAGUAACACGUGGGUGAUCUGCCCUGCACUUCGGCAUAAGCCAGGGCAACUGGGUCUAAUACCGGCCAGGUGCCAUAUUUAGCGUGAUGGUUGGAUAGUUUUUUCGGUGUUGGCUGAGCUCGCGGCCUAUCGGCUUGUUGGUGGGGUGAUGGGCUACCAAGGCGGCGAGGGGUAGCCGGCCUGUGAGGGUGGACGGCGACAUAGGGACUGAGGUGCGGCCCAGGCUCGUACGGGAGGCAGAUGUGGGGAAGCUUGAACAAUGAGCGCAAGCCUGAUGCAGAGACGCCGCGUGGGGGAAGACGGCCUUCGGGUUGUAGACUCAUUGCGCUGGGGACGAAGCUUUUUGUGACGGUACCUAGAGAAGAAGCACCGGCUAACUACGUG